UACGGAGGGUGCAAGCGUUAUCCGGAUUUACUGGGUUUAAAGGGUGCGUAGGUGGGUCUGUAAGUCAGUGGUGAAAUCUCCGGGCUUAACUCGGAAACUGCCAUUGGUACUAUAGGUCUUGAAUUAUCUGGAGGUAAGCGGAAUAUGUCAUGUAGCGGUGAAAUGCUUAGAUAUGACAUAGAACACCAAUUGCGAAGGCAGCUUACUACGGAUAUAUUGACACUGAGGCACGAAAGCGUGGGGAUCAAACAGG
rnacentral:rRNA from 1 species